rnacentral:rRNA from 1 species
UCUUAAGGUCGCAGCAAGACUAGCUGCUUGAUAGGUUGGGUGUGUAAGUGGUGAAAGCCAUUUAGCUGACCAAUACUAAUAGACCGUCCGCUUACUUUA